rnacentral:rRNA from 1 species
GACGAACGCUGGCGGCGUGCUUAACACAUGCAAGUCGAACGGAAAGGCCCUGCUUUUGUGGGGUGCUCGAGUGGCGAACGGGUGAGUAACACGUGAGUAACCUGCCCUUGACUUUGGGAUAACUUCAGGAAACUGGGGCUAAUACCGGAUAGGAGCUCCUGCUGCAUGGUGGGGGUUGGAAAGUUUCGGCGGUUGGGGAUGGACUCGCGGCUUAUCAGCUUGUUGGUGGGGUAGUGGCUUACCAAGGCUUUGACGGGUAGCCGGCCUGAGAGGGUGACCGGCCACAUUGGGACUGAGAUACGGCGCAGACUCCUACAGGAGGCAGCAGUGGGGAAUAUUGCACAAUGGGCGGAAGCCUGAUGCAGCAACGCCGCGUGCGGGAUGACGGCCUUCGGGUUGUAAACCGCUUUCGCCUGUGACGAAGCGUGAGUGACGGUAAUGGGUAAAGAAGCACCGGCUAACUACGUG